AUAUCGGGCUUGCGAAAGGGUUCU
rnacentral:rRNA from 1 species